rnacentral:rRNA from 1 species
AUUGAACGCUGGCGGCAGGCCUAACACAUGCAAGUCGCACGAACGGCGGACGGGUGAGUAAUGUCUGGGAAACUGCCUGAUGGAGGGGGAUAACUACUGGAAACGGUAGCUAAUACCGCAUACCAUCGGAUGUGCCCAGAUGGUAUUAGCUAGUAGGUGGGGUAACGGCUCACCUAGGCGACGAUCCCUAGCUGGUCUGAGAGGAGGACCAGCCACACGGGAACUGAGACACGGUCCAGACUCCUACGUGAGGCAGCAGUGGGGAAUAUUGCACAAUGGGCGCAAGCCUGAUGCAGCCAUGCCGCGUGUAUGAAGAAGGCCUUCGGGUUGUAAAGCACUUUCAGAGAGGAGGCGUUACCCGCAGAAGAAGCACCGGCUAACUCCGUGCCAGCCGCCGCGGUAAUAC